ensembl:lncRNA
CCAACAUUUCUAACAAAUAUGGUACCCAAGAUAGACAUCAUGAUACUCAUAGGUAAACAAUUGACUUACAUGUUCAUUAAAUCAUCAUCAAACAUUGUUUUUUCAUGCUGUAGGUAAACUUUGAAAACUAUGAAGCGAUGCUGUCAUUCAUCCAUGUGAAUGGGAAUCAUUGGAACAUGCUGGUUUGUUGCCUUCUUAAUUUUCACUCAGUAAGAUGUUUGUUAUCACAUCGUGAAAUAAAGUAUUAAUUACAGUAUACCCUCUCUUCUUUCACAGUACAUUCAUGCAAAGUCUGGCACAGUCUUCCAAUUGGAUCCAUCACCAGCAUCCUCUGAGCUUGAGGACUCUGCACAUGCCGCCACGAAAAUACAGUAAAUAUUCAAGCUAGAAUUCUAAACAUUUGAAGUCAGUCAUGUUCACAUUCAACAAUGGCAGCUGUUUCUUAUUGUAUGACCUCAGUAAUCAGUGGUAUGUUUGAAGAUCUGUCCAUAUGCCUUAUAAGUGAAUACAAACUUUGCUAAAAUGUAUCUGUGAAUGAAAAAUGUUUUGGUAGUGCCUAAAGAAAUUAUCGCAACAUCACGUUUCUUCAGGGAAUACUUCAAGAUGAGGAGAACAUCCCAUGGGAAAACGGACUGGGUUGAUGUUGAGUGGAAAGGAGGAGUAAUGCCCCACCCAGUGCAAAGGGAUGGUUGCAGUUGUGGCGUUAUUGUUGUUGAAAUGGCCAGAGCAGUAAUGGGAGCCUUCCCUCAGUUGCCCCAAAUGCAAUUUGAAACCACCAGGAAAGCCAUGGGAGAAUCUAGGAGGAAUAUGGGUCUCCAAGUCCUUGAGGCAUCAGUCUUUGAUGAAGAGACAUGUGCAAUGUGUGGAGCUGACAGGCCCCCUGGAGAAGCACCUGCCAACACAAACUGGAUCCAGUGUGAUAAAUGUGACCGGUGGUUCCAUGCCGUCUGUUUAACCAUGGACCCCAGGACACUUCAAGAGCUGAAGCAAAAGCAAUGGCUGUGUGUGCUGUGCAAAUAAAUAUUUUACCUGUUACCUGUCCUACAAGUGCCUCAUGACCUUUAUAUUACCUUUACAUUUCUCUCGUUCCGCUGCUGCAACUUGCACCACAUCCCAUGAGCCCCAGCCAGCAUGUCUCCUCCCCUUCUCUUCGCUGCUGUGUUGGCCUUAGUGCUGUGUGCAAGGCACCGACUGAUAUGACCACAUUAACCGGUGUGCUGACUACGUGUACACAAGGAACCAUGUGCUCUUGUGGUCAUCCUGAAAAACUAAAAUACUAUCAACUUUUGGUAGACUUGUACAACUUUACCCUGUAAAUAAACACGACAAAUUACAAAAAAUAUUGGCUAAACUUUUAUUAAGUAGGACAAAUCACAACAGCAGCCGUCUAUUCCUGAGACUGCCCCAACGGCUCACUGCCUUGUCAAAAUCAAAUUGAGCAAUUGCAGGCCCCUCAAUACUGAUCCUGAGGAGGUGGUUCAGGGUAGCGUUAGUCAUGGUAGACCUCCUGUGCCAUGCCUCUAUGGAACAAGUUUUGGGGCUCUAGAGUCAAUAAUGGCGACGCUAUAGAAAUGUUACUAUUGUUGUCGUUUUCAGUUUUGCACUUUGCAGACGGUCCCUAAGCUCGCGGCUGAAAGCCGACUGCUCGUAGAAGCCAAUGCAAUUCAGUUUUGCACUUUGCAGACGGUCCCUAAGCUCGCGGCUGAAAGCCGACUGCUCGUAGAAGCCAACGCAAUUCACCGUUCGCUAAAGACGGCUCGUUUGGAUGAAAACUAUGUUGUAGCUGGUUCUCUGGGUUACUACACUUUUAUUGGGCUAAUUCGGCCGUGCAGCUGCCAUUUAGUUCCCUGCUACGGGUUCCCUGGUAACAGGGAACCCUGUUCGACUGUUCGUUUUGCUCUCGCAAAACUCUUGAUCAACACUCAGCAUUUGUUUAUUUCUGUCGUUCAUUGAAACCGCUUUGUGCAGAGAGAACUGGAAUGGUCUUGUAUACUUGCUUAGCAUCUUAGCGCCUAGACCAAAAACCCAUUCAAAUACAUAGUAGCUAGCUAGCUUGCUGCUAAUAACUUUAACGUUAGCAUGUCGACUCGGUCUGGGAAACUCCAAUUCGGAUCUGAAUAUUUUUGGAGUAAUUAUAAGUUAUUUGAGGAUCAGACACAUUGUCAGGUGUUGGUGUUGGGAUAUUUUCGCGGAGAAAAGAUCGUUUUGAGAAAUAGUGUAUGUUGUACAGCAGCAUGUAAGUACAGAUCCAAGUCUGACAGGUUCAGUCGGCAUUUCGGUAGGAUGACGCACGCCGGGAGUAUCGGGGCGCAGCGCCCCUGUUCCCUUGUUUAGAAAAAAC